rnacentral:rRNA from 1 species
CCCUUAGAUGUUCUGGGCCGCACGCGUGCUACACUGAACGGUUCAAUGGGUAAGGUAGUGCGAAAGCAUGACCUAAUCUCGAAAUCCGUUCGUGCUGGGGAUAGAAGCUUGCAAUUAUCCUUCUUGAACGAGGAAUACCUUGUAAGCGUGAGUCAUCAUCUCACGCUGAAUACGUCCCUGCCCUUUGUACACACCGCCCGUCGCUCCUACCGAUUGAGUGUUCCGGUGAGGCUUUGGGAGAAUGGUCUCAACAUGAGUUUAUCGUGUUUUGCCGUUUGAACUUAGUCAAACCUUAUCACUUAGAGGAAGGAGAAGUCGUAACA